AGUGAACGCUGGCGGUAGGCCUAACACAUGCAAGUCGAACGGCAGCACAAUAAGCGCUUGCUCUUACGGUUGGCGAGUGACGGACGGGUGAGACAUACAUCGGAAUCUACUUUUUCGUGGGUGAUAACGUAGGGAAACUUACGCUAAUACCGCAUACGACCUACGGCUUAAAUCAGUAGUGCUUCAGACCUUGCGCGAUUGAAUGAGCCGAUGUCGGAUUAGCUAGUUGGCGGGGUAAAGGCCCACCAAGGCGACGAUCCGUAGCUGAUCUGAGAGGAUGAUCGGCCACACUGGAACUGAGACACGGUCCAGACUCCUACGGGAGGCAGCAGUGGGGAAUAUUGGGCAAUGGGCGAAAGCCUGACCCAGCCAUGCCGCGUGGGUGAAGAAGGCCUUCGGGUUGUAAAGCCCUUUUGUUGGGAAAGAAAAGCAGCAGGUUAAUACCCCGCUGUUCUGACGGUACCUAAAGAAUAAGCAACGGCUAACUUCGU
rnacentral:rRNA from 1 species